rnacentral:tRNA from 1 species
GGGCUCGUAGCUCAUUUGGUAGAGCGCCGCUCUUGCAAAUCGGAGGCAGUCGGUUCGAAACCGAUCGGGUCCA